AAAGUUUGAGGCCGAUGUGUUUUUGCUCUGGAGCAGCAGCUUUGCUUGUUGUGGUGGGUCCUGUAGAAAAUGCCAUGAAGCACAAAGUGCCAGGAUUGGUUUCUUGGCUUUAAUAGCUGCUCUAGUUGUCCCUUUUACAGCAGUGAAACAGCCCUGGCAGCUUCCCUGACCCAAACCCCACGGUUUGUCCUGUGCCUGCAGAGCCAGACCUUGCCGCAGGCUGACUGGUGAGUUUGGAGGGGGUUUUAGGGCUGAAAGUUCUUGAAAUAGCUUCAUUUCAGGAGCCCACAGGGUUCCUCUCCAGAGCAGGGAUUUGUGGAAUGGAGGUGGGACCACUGUGUGUCUGCCCUGAGCAUCACUCGCUGCUCACCAGGUAGCUGAAGGGCCGGAAGAGAUGCAGGGGAAGAUUAACCUCUGUGGGUACUGCUGACUUCUACCUCAACUAAAUAAUUCCUAAAUAAACUUGGAAAUGACUCAGUCUUUGCUGCUGGCACCUUUGAGAUGAUCGUGUGUUAAUUUGUAAAGAUGGACCUAAAUAAAUUGAAAUACUUGUGGGAGGGGGAGGCUGGGAAAUGCCCUGAAAGCCACUCACUGCUGACAGUGCUGGUUGUCCAUGCUCCCUGCACAUGGGGCAUGACCACGAGGGGCAGGUGGGAAAUGAUGGGAAGGGAUGAAGGACAGAGCAUGGGAAGGGAAAGAAAGGGGAACUGACAGGAAGCUGAACAUGAGCCAGAGUGUGCCCAGGUGGCCAAGAGGGCCAAUGGAUCCUGGCCUGGCUCAGGAAGAGUGUGGCAGCAGGAGCAGGGAAGUGAUUCUUGCCCUGGACUGAGCGCUGGUGAGGCCACCCCUGGAGUGCUGUGUCCAGUUCUGGGCCCUGAGCUCAGGAAGGACAUGGAGAGGCUGGAGCAGGUGCAGAGAAGAGCAAUGAGGCUGGGGAAGGGACUGGAGCACAAGUGCUGUGAGGAGAGGCUGAGGGAGCUGGGGGGGCUCAGCCUGGAGAAGAGGAGGCUCAGGGGAGACCUUCUCACUCUCUACAACUCCCUGACAGGAGGUUGUAGCCAGGUGGGGGUCGGGCUCUUCUCCCAGGAAGCAGCAGUAGGACAAGAGGGCUGGGUCUUCAGCUGUGCCAGGGGAGGUUUAGGUUGGAUAUUAGGAAGAAAUUUUUUACAGAGUGAUUAGAUGCUGGAAUGGGCUGCCCAGGGAGGAGAUGGAUUCUCCAUCCCUGGAGGUGUUUAAGAUGAGACUGGAUGUGGCAUCAGUGCCAUGGUCUGGGAACCACGGUGGGGUUGGAUCAAGGGUUGGACUGGAUGAUCUCAGAGGUCUUUUUCAACCUGGUCGAUUCUUUGAAUUAAACCGAAGGAAAACUAAAGGGUAAAGAAAGAAAACGCUUUUGGAUUGUGCUCAUCUGAGUGGGACUAGCAAAACAUCAACACGGGGGGAAAAAGAAUACAUGGGGAGGGAGGAAACCCACGGGGAUCCUGGUGGUUGUCGGGAUGCAGAGCAGGUCCAGAAGGGGCUCGAGGACACAGUCCAGGACGGCGGGGACCGAGCCGGAGGGCAGCAGGCGCUGCUGGGGCGAUGCAGCGUCGGCCACGUACGCCGGGGCUGGCCCGGACUGAGCGAUGCUCCAGAUGAGACGACAACAGAUUUACAACCAUCAAAUCCCGAUCCCAGGCGGAAGAGCUUUUGAUGCAUUGGGUGGGACAAGGACGAUCCGCCCGCCAGUGCCACCUCCAGCUCUCACCCUCCAGCGUUGCAUGGGAACAUCAUCUCCCCUGUUAGGCACCAGGACCUUGGCAUAGUCGUUCCUCAAGGUGUAUCAAGUGCUCAAUAAAAGUAAUUCCCAAGUUAAA